rnacentral:ncRNA from 2 species
GUGCCAGACACGGAGUGCCCUAACAGGGCUGAGAUGAUAUCCGUUGAACCUGAUCCAGCUAAUACUGGCGAAGGGAUGUCUGUUGCACUAUUU